rnacentral:lncRNA from 1 species
GCAAUAUAACCUUCAUAGUCUUCUGCAACUUAGCAAAAUUUCUCAUAUAACAGCUUUGCACGCCUGCCUGGGCUGAUGAAACAUACAACUUAAUCAUCGAGGGCCAAGAGCCAAGGUGAUUGCUGGAAGAGAGAGUCAAACAUCACAGCCUAUGUGCAAGGAAGGUCUGGGGCCCCACGGAACUCAGUGGAAAACAGUGCUCUUUGGAACUGGACCCUAUUAAAGAUGGAACCAUGAAGUGCCAUGUCCCUGGUGACACCACGAGUUAGUGCUGGAAGCCAAAGGCAGCCCAGGAGAGUGGGUCAGUGGGGGUGGGCACCACCCUGAGAGUUGACUCAGCCUCAGCAGGAGCCUCCCUUGGAAGCACCCGGGAAGCCCUUGCUGAGGGCUGGGAUCCUCUUCCCCCAGGACAGGCAGGGAAGAGAGAAUCACCCAUUGCAAAGUAAUGACACCUCAACUGUCUCCAAGAACACGAGUGAUUGAGUCCGUUGUCAUUCAUGUCCCAUUGCUCCAGAAUCAAAUGUUAGCAGCCAAGAAGGAUGUCAGCACCUUCCAUUGUCACCAUCCCCAAAUCUGCUUUCCACAGCUUCGAGAAGGACUGUUAGCUUGGAUGGGCAGACUCUACACCCCCAGGCAGAACUGAGUCCCCUCUUCCCUGGGAAGGCAUGCCAAGCAAGCACAUCUUGAGGGGGCAGCCAGGAGCAGAAGUCUUGAAGAACUUAAAAGCAUAAGUUUGCACUAGAAAGCCAAAUUGCUAAACUGGAACGAACUCACAGUUUGGACAGGGACAAAGAGAUUGAGAUGUGAAAGGAAAGAUCUCAGUGUCGACUUCCAGGAGCUUUGCAUUUCCUGUGGCAAAGUUUGCCCACCCCUGAGUCUGCCACCAACACUGAAAACUCCCAGCUCAGCCGCCUUCCUUCCAAUCUUGACAUCAGUCCAAAAACCAGGUGAGGAAACCGACUGCAGAGAGGUGGCGUGACUAGCUGUCGUCACACAGCUAGCUAGAGCCUGAGCUGUGCUGGUUGCCAGUUGCGCUGACUCCCAGAGCCC